AAACGCUUGAAGUCAGUCGCGUUGUUCAGGAUUCAGCCUUGCUUUUGCUUGGUGUACUUCCUGUUCGACGGGUCAGCAUCAGUUUUGGCCGGUGGAUAAAGGUUCAGGGAAUGUGGCAUCUUCGGAUGUGUUAUAGCCUUUGGUUUAUAUACAAUGAUUGGGAUUGAGGAACUCAGUGCUUGCACUCAGGAUGUUGGCAUAAUGGCUUUAAUCGA
rnacentral:rRNA from 1 species